CCUGAGAGGGUGCCUUUUGUCUCCGCUCGUUCUGCUUUCGUUCUUCCUCGAUCAGGUCCGAGUAGAGCGAGUCCAAGUCCUUUCCAGGCACAGCCGAGAGCAUCGAUGCGAAAGGUUGGAGAUCAGGGGAGACAGAGCUCAGAAGGAAUGCCUUAGCUUGAUCGAUGGUGAUUGCCGCUUCCGCGUCCUUCAGCUCGGUGAUCAUCGCUUUAAACUUUCCAAUGUAAGUGGCCAUGGUGUCAUCAGGUUGCAUUCUCAUCGUGAAGAACCUUUGUGUUAGCACCACCUUAGCAUUGGCAGCUUUGGCAGCGAAGAUUUGUGUAAGGGAUGUCCAGUUCUGGUGGGCUGUUUUGGUAAGAUCAAGGAGAUGAACGAAUUCAUCCCCAAGACCUAACCCGAUGACAAAGAGCGCUUUUCGAUUCUUGGAGUCCCAGUCGAGCCGUUGGGUUACAUCCGCAGCAGCCGGACGUUGAGUCGUUCCAUCCACUAUAGGCCAGCAGUCCUUGGCCAAACGGAUAAGCUGUACUUUUGUUUUCCAAGUGGAGAAAUUCUGUCCCGUGAACUUUUGGAGAAGUUUCUCCCAGCCCCCAGAGUCCCAAGAAUUUCCAGAAGACAUUCUAUCUAUUAAUCUAAGAAUAGAUUAAACAGAGAAUUUAGAAAGGACGGCGUGGAGAAGAAUCGUGAAAAACUCGGCCGCAACAAGGGCACACCUUCCGGCAGGCUGGGCAAAGAGCUUGUUGGCGCUUUCGCUCCUGGAUCUUCCGCUCCACCCACGCCAGCACUGCCAAAGCGCUCCUGAGCCAAGGGUUCCUGGCCCCUUUGAUUCUUCAUCUGCCACUGUCCUCUUGCCAUUAGAUCGUUCGCUGCUCCGAUACCAUGU
rnacentral:lncRNA from 1 species